AGACGGCAGAUCUAACGAGAGCAGCGUGCUGAUCGACUCAGAUGAUUCAGACAAGCUGAAAGAAACGUCUGAAGACUGGAAGUGUGGAGCUGAGUCUGAGCUGACCAGUGAUAUGACGCUGCACUGGUCUGAAGAGGACGAGGAUGUGACGCCGGUCGCAUCACCCAGCCCGGUCUUCCCAGAGGAGAAACUCGUUCACCAGGCAGACGACACACCGGCCGCCUCCCUGAACCACGUGACGACUGCAG